GGGAGAUGAUUUUAACACGAGUGAUCGAUCGAUACCAGCAGCUAGUGUCAUCAUCGUAAUCCCUGCCUCAGAUUUGGAUACACAUAGGUGCUCUUGACGGUUGCCUGCAGUGUGCAGAGCGAAGGAAGGAAUGUAUGAAUGAAAA
rnacentral:ribozyme from 1 species